GGAGACUGAAACUUUUGGGCCCUAAAUGUAACUAGUUGAUAUAUGGUCUAAAAAAAUGGUCAUAUUUUUCCAUACUAAACUACAAAAAAUCAGCCUAUUUUUCUUUCUGGAAACUGUGUAAUAAGAAAAACAAGAUUUUUAAGCAUUUACUAGUAAAUCGAUUAAAGAAGUAUCGAUUUAUGUAAAUGAGAUCACACAAUAAAAUAAAAAAGGCACGCUUGCUUUAUUUUAGGCGAAUUACGUAAACAAAAUAACUAAUUGCGUUGUUGCUAUAAAUAUAUUGAAUUAUUUUAGCUCAUAAAACAUUUAUUAAAUGAAUAAAAAAAAAACAUUUAGUUUAAUAAUCGAUUUUUAAUUUAAAUCGAUACUUUAAAAAAUCUGAUUUAGUCUGUGCACUGAAACUGACAGCUGCCUGUCUAUUUCUCUAUGGAUCACUCGUUUCGUAUUUUUCGUUUCGUGCGUGUGCGUUUCGAGUGCUUUUCCUCCUAUCUUUUUGUUUUUUCGCCGACCACUGCUUUGUUUUACGGAUUUUGACCCUACAUGCAUUGCCUGAACGACCCCUGCUUUCAACCUGGACUCUGGAUCUUGCUUACACGUCUGACUUGGAAUGUUUACUUUGGACUUUACUACCGGCUUAAGAACUGGAUAUUGACGCUAUGGAUCGCUGUGUAAAUUGUGGAAUAGACACUAGUCGCUGCAAUGCACUAGGCAGACGAUCCCUAAACGAUGAGUCUACUCUGCAUGUGAUUCAACAAUGGCUUGCACCUCAGACUGUUAAUAAUAGUGACUAUGUUUGCCAAGCAUGCUGGGACUUGGCUUAAAGCCGAUAUAAUGAUGAAGAAAGACAACUUGGCCACCAUAAUGUUUGUCUUCGCUGUGGACGUCCUCUUGCUUCAGCACGAGUUACUUAUUUACUCCACACUAACUCCCAUCGAGAACUGAGAAUAUAUAAUGUUAUACGAGAGUGGAUUACCUAUACCUCGAGCUGUACCCGAAGAUGGUUGCAUAUGUCAUACAUGCUGGGUGGCUGCAGACAGAGCUGCUGUCCAUAUGAUCUCAGGACCAUCAACUUCAUCCCGAGGAAUACCCCCUGAAGAAAUACAG